rnacentral:lncRNA from 1 species
GACCCAAACCGAUGGGCCGCGAUGGGCACCCGGUACCUUACUCGACCAAGUACCAACAUAAUGUAUCUUUCUAAUUACAUCAUCAUAUACACGUGACAUACGGGCCUAACAGGCCAACAUAAUCAUUUAUAAACUCAAAACAUAGGCUGACAAGGCCGUACAAUCUUUCACGUAUACGAUAUAAGUCUACAAGCCUCUAAGACUAGAUAAAUGUCAUAAAGGUCGGGAUAGAGUCCCACCAUACCAAACAAUACACGUCUAAAUCAUACUAACCAAACAAGCAACUCUGAAGCAAAUGGAGCGCAUCAACAUCUUCCGCUGAGCUAAUAGCCUACUUGGAGGGCUCUCGACCCAUCUAUCGGGACCUGCGGGCAUGAAACACAGCGUCACCAGGCAAAAGGGACGUCAGUACGAAUAUUUUACCGAGUAUGUAAGACACAUAAAUAAGUACAUAAGAGACAUGGAAGAAAUAUAGAAUACAUGACUUAACUUGUAAGUUUGAAUAAUUUUGUAAAUCAUAAAUUACUUUUAGCGUCAUGCAUAUGCGUAUGAAUGUCAUGUCGUGCAUAGGUACAUGUUUCAUAACAUCGUCAACCUUUGACGGCAUCCCAUCAUAUCAUAACGGCCACUGUGGGCAAAAUCAUCAUCGUAUAUCAGCUGAUCAGGUGGUGGUGCGUAUAUAAUGCCAUAACCUUUCUCAUAUCAUAUAUACAUAUAUAUACAUACAUAUAUACGCGUAUAUAACACCGUUUGAAUUAUAUUUACAUAUAUUCGCGUAUAUAACGCCAUUUGAAUCAUAUUUCAGCCACUGCGGGCAAUAUCAUCCUCAUAUACCAGCUGAUCAGGUGUUGGUGCGUAUAUAACACCGUAACCUUUUCUCAUUUCCCAUAUCCCAUAUACAUAUAUUUACAUAUAUACACGUAUAUAACGUCAUCUGGUCAUGGGUCAAUGCACAUGUAUGAAAUGCACGAAAAAUACGUAAUAAUCUCAAUACUCUUUCCGGAUAAAUUUUUCCAACUGCGUAUUAUUCUGAGACUCACGAGCAGAAGAUAAAAUAUUAUGACACACGGAAAUUCAAGAACAUGGAUAUCUCUAAUACUUCUAUGAAUAGAGUCAUUCAUGGAAUUUGUGCAUUUGCACGUCUCGUUCGUAUCGUAUGGAUCAUGCCAAAAGAAGAAGGGGUAGCCUUAACAUACCUGAGCUGAUUCUCUUGACAAUGCCUCUAACACAUGUCAAUUGCGAUAAAACACGUUACGGCGGAUCGAAGUAAUGAAAAACAAAUCCAUGUGAUAUUCUUGAGAAAGAUUGUACCGUACUCCAAGAGGCACAGAAGUUCCAUUUGAUACUACUAUAGUUGAGUACAACCACACCAGCUUCGUGUAACUCUGUGUGGACACAUCAAUAACUACAAGAACGAUAAAGCCAUUUUAUUCUCUAUUUUGUCGUUCCUUCCAUCAUUUAUACUAAUGUUUGACACAUUCUUAGUUGUAUUACUAUCAAACUUCCUUGAUGAUUUGGAAAAAUCAUCCUCAAAGUAUCUAAUACCAACAAGAUCCGUUGAAGUAGGAGUAGAAGGAAAUGGUGUUCCCUCAAGUUGAACAAUAAUAAAAUAAUAUGAUGGCUCCACCGAUUUUUGUCACCAAAUUGGUCAAAAGGGACAUGUGCAAUAUUCUUUGAAUAUGAGUUUGUCAUUAAGAUCUUGUGUUAUUUCAUGUAUGAACCUUAUUCACUUUAUCUUACUCCUUUGGAGACAUUUUGCAUAAAUUAUUCAAGCUUGGAGGAAUUUCUAACGGUGGUUGUAAGGUAUUUGAAGAUGUUAAAGAUGAAGUGUUAUGUAACUAACAUAUUUGUUUGCCACCUUUCAAUUCUAAUGUAAGAGUCACAAAUUCUUGGAAUGGGGAGCUUCCACGUUUUCACCUCGAUAAUUAUCCAAAUUUUUUAAUUAAUUUAAUUAGAAAAUAUCCCGCUACCCGGUAAUUAAACAAUUACCCGCAUAAUUUAAAAAUUGUAUCAAAUUACUUAAAUUCUACUUAUUUUUAAUAUACUUUAUAUGUAAUUUAUACCUUAUACUACCGUGAUCAUAUGGUACCUUACAUGGUACUAGUUUAUAAUUAUCGGGUAUUAUCGCUCAAAAUAUCGGUGGACCUGCAUUUUAUCCCAAAUGCCAAACUUGGACGAAAAUUCGUUUCCUUUGAAUUGCUUCCCCUCUCACCUUCACAAAUUUACUUAUUACUUGUUCGAAAUAGCAUAAUCCUUCUAAUCUCCGAAGAAUCUUUUCCUUGGACUGAUGUCAAUUACCUUACGACAAAUUCCACGUACAAUACUACAAGGUGCAACAUCGUAGUAAUGUAGUACUGCGAAAUCUGACAUCUCACUUCGGGGCUCUUAUUAAUUUAUUUAUGGCGUAUUUUCAUGUACGAAAAUAUGGGGUGUAAUAUCAUUUCCCCCCUUUGGAACAUUCGUCCUCGAAUGUUGACUGAUGCGCUUAUCGUUCUCAUAUCUCAUAGCUCUUUAGAAUACUUUAGUAGUCCUCUUGCCAUCUAGGAAAAUAUUCUGUGAAUAAGUCCAUAGGCCAGGGCAUCCCCCCCCCCUUUAGGCCUCUUCCCCACGCCAUGACUUGUGAUCGAAUUCCUUCCAAUCUCGUAACUAUUGCUACCUUCCAUCAUGCAACUUCUAUGAUAUUGACCUUGUAAGUGUGCCAAUGUGAAUCUCCUCUCCUUUUUCCUCCAGUUUUAGCCAAUCCUGAAGUUCUUCGCUUGGUAUUUUAUCGAAAUUACAAAUAUUGCUCUAUCUUAUUUUAUAGACCUGGUUAUCUAUUCGUAUAACUUUACUGCAUCUACAUUGGUCAUACUAUACCAUAACUCUUACCUCGACUUCUCGUUAUUGAGGUCUGCUACCAAUUCCCAAGUUACUUUCAUUGCUUAUCUCAUACGUAUAAAUCUAUGUUCUCUAAUGCUUCCACAUUACUGUUCAUCUUAAGAAGGACGACCUAAUCUCCUCUCAUACUUUAUAACUUUUAUCUAUCCAUUGUUGAUUCACCUCAAUUUUGAUCCAUAAUCCACUCCAGAUAACUUAACCUUUUAUGUAAUAUUGCUGCUAGGAUACACGUUUUAUCGGGGAACGUCUGAAAUGAUUAGAUUGAUCCACCGGGGGCGAUACCCUGCUUUCAUAACCGUAUCUCACGGCAUCCCAAUGUGAUUUACCUUGUGUGGGUAUUUUAAUCCUGUCCAAUUCAUGAGAUCCCUUUCUUUUAUUCGUCAGAACAUUACUCAAUCGAAGGCCCAAACAUCAUUUUUUCAUUUUUUUCUAUAAUAAUUACACCCUCAUUCUAUUAACAGGGCUGCAUUCCAUCUCUUCUUAAUGUUAUUAGUAUUAGACUCCUUUUGAGUUCAUUCAGGCUAUACUGACUUUCUAUAACUUAGAGAAACCAUUAGCUUUCUUAUUUUUAUNNNNNNNNNNNNNNNNNNNNNNNNNNNNNNNNNNNNNNNNNNNNNNNNNNNNNNNNNNNNNNNNNNNNNNNNNNNNNNNNNNNNNNNNNNNNNNNNNNNNNNNNNNNNNNNNNNNNNNNNNNNNNNNNNNNNNNNNNNNNNNNNNNNNNNNNNNNNNNNNNNNNNNNNNNNNNNNNNNNNNNNNNNNNNNNNNNNNNNNNNNNNNNNNNNNNNNNNNNNNNNNNNNNNNNNNNNNNNNNNNNNNNNNNNNNNNNNNNNNNNNNNNNNNNNNNNNNNNNNNNNNNNNNNNNNNNNNNNNNNNNNNNNNNNNNNNNNNNNNNNNNNNNNNNNNNNNNNNNNNNNNNNNNNNNNNNNNNNNNNNNNNNNNNNNNNNNNNNNNNNNNNNNNNNNNNNNNNNNNNNNNNNNNNNNNNNNNNNNNNNNNNNNNNNNNNNNNNNNNNNNNNNNNNNNNNNNNNNNNNNNNNNNNNNNNNNNNNNNNNNNNNNNNNNNNNNNNNNNNNNNNNNNNNNNNNNNNNNNNNNNNNNNNNNNNNNNNNNNNNNNNNNNNNNNNNNNNNNNNNNNNNNNNNNNNNNNNNNNNNNNNNNNNNNNNNNNNNNNNNNNNNNNNNNNNNNNNNNNNNNNNNNNNNNNNNNNNNNNNNNNNNNNNNNNNNNNNNNNNNNNNNNNNNNNNNNNNNNNNNNNNNNNNNNNNNNNNNNNNNNNNNNNNNNNNNNNNNNNNNNNNNNNNNNNNNNNNNNNNNNNNNNNNNNNNNNNNNNNNNNNNNNNNNNNNNNNNNNNNNNNNNNNNNNNNNNNNNNNNNNNNNNNNNNNNNNNNNNNNNNNNNNNNNNNNNNNNNNNNNNNNNNNNNNNNNNNNNNNNNNNNNNNNNNNNNNNNNNNNNNNNNNNNNNNNNNNNNNNNNNNNNNNNNNNNNNNNNNNNNNNNNNNNNNNACCUUCCUUCUACUUGCUUGCACCCUAGAUUUCCUUAUGUUGUUCUGGAGCAUCAAGCGAGACAUCACAUCGUCUCUAACUAUCCUUUACUCUCAUAAUCAGUCUUCUCAAUACCUAGACCAUAGGCUGGAAGAUAUGCUACUGACGUCGUUGCUAUCAUUCCCGGAUAUUGAAUCCCCGCACUUAGAGACUUCUAUCUGAAGUAUGGAUUAUUCACAAUCUUCUGCCUUUGAGUAUCUCGUACGUUGUUCACCUUUACCUUACUUACCUUAAAAUUUUGCAUCGUAUCUUCUAUCUCUUUCAUGACCUUCCCUCCACAUAGGUAUAAUUCACGUCCAUAACUUGAAGCUCUAUUAUAAUACUCGCACCUCUGCUACAUACACUAUCUGAUGAGAGCUUCGUACUGACUUCUUAUGAGGUUGGUACUUCUUCUAACUGGCUUUCUUGUAAAGCCAUUAUAGAUUAUGGUUGUUAUGUUAUUUUCCUUGAACAUCUGAUAUUAAGAGUGAUUCUUUCAUGUUCUCAAGCACAACUUCUAUAAUUUUUCUAGGCCCAAUAAUCAGACUCUUGAUUUACUUGGGUGAUGUGAUUCUUUAGCUUCAUCUUCCUUCCGAUCAGCCUUUAUGUAGGUUUAAGCUACCUUCCGAUUUGUGACUCUUGGUAUCAGUUAUUACCUUAGCCUUUCAUGGGCGUUAUGGAAUAUCCAUGAUGCAAUCUUUUAACAAUUCAAUCAUUUGUCUAUGCCCUGGGCUCAAUUCUUCUUUUUAACUUAUACCAGAGUCUUCUAUGGCUGUAUGAUUGCCAACAAAUAUAAUGCUCCAAAAUCUUGAGUAUGUCUAUAACGUACUAACUCUGGAUCAUUGAUCGAAUAAUUCCUUUCGUUCCAUCUCAGCUCUCUUAAAACGUAUGCAAUUAAUUUUCAUGGUCUUUCUGUCCCCUUGUUGCGUCCAUACAUAGCUUAUCAUAGUGCCUACACUUGCCAUAGUUUUCAUACAACUAAUAUGAUCUCGAAUAUUACUUUUAAUUCUUACUUCCCGUUCAUUAGCCACGGUAGGUGCCAUUUUCCUUUGGAAUGCUUACAAUGUUAUUGAGAGAUUAUUGUUACACGACCAUUUCCUCUUUAGGUCGUUGUGCUUAAGUUGAAGUCUUCUUCCUUAUUUCCUCAGCUAGUCUUUCGUUGUAGUACUUAGGGAGAACCCUUGACUCUCCUAAAGCUAUGAGCUUAUUACGGACCCUUUUUGAUGUCCUUACUUGCCUCUAAUCAUUCGUAGUUGCUUACUCUCAUGCCCUUGAGCUUGUAUGGUUGCUUCUAAACUGACGUUUUGAUUGCCUUCUCAGUGGCACUUUCUUUUAUCCCCGUAACACUCAUACAGUACUUUUAACUACCCCGACUCCUAUUUGAAUAUAUCUCAAGUAUUAUAAUGAUAUUCUUUGAGGCUGAAAUCUCUAUGUUAGGUUCUACUAUGUUUAUGUUACAUGAUCUGAUGACUCGUCUGUAACCCCAUGUUUAGUCAUAACUGGGAUCUUCCUGACCAAUUACUAACUACUCGUUGGCCCAUUAUCAUGUCAACAUUCCUCGUAAUCUUUCUUGGGUUAUUUCCUUUGUCUUAACUUACGUCUCACACUGACUCCUUAUUUAUUAAUAACAGCUCGAGCAGGAACCUUCACUUCCUUUCCUUGACAUCGUUCUUGCACAAUAUUCUUGAAUCGUAGCGUAUCUGUAAGAUUUGGAUAAGUGUCAUCUCAUUCCUCUUUCAUUUAUCGCAUUCUUCCUUUACCAUUCUAUAGUCACUAGAACCACUUAAUUUUGACUUAAUGUCACAUCACUCCAUAUUCCUCCCUUUAUGGGUGUAUCAAGACUUGGAGCUAUGACGACCUGCCUAUAGAUGUUUUUCCUCUUCAUCUUUGGCGUCCUCUCACAUUAUCAAUGACCCUUACUCACCUUGCGGUAAUCCUUUUGUACCAAGGAUAACAAAAUCUCUCGCUCGUGAAGGUGACACUUAGUGUAACUGGCACAUACAGUCUCUUAAGCUUAACUUUGCUCACAUUUCUUCCUUUAGGGAAGCAUCUCCCUGAAUGACCAUUUUCUGAACUCAUCAUGGAUCUUCUUCUGUUGUCCAUUCUGUUAUUGCCGGAAUGCAAUCUGCAAUUCUCAUGAUGCUGACUAUCAUCAAAUCACUCAAUUCCUUAUUCAUAUUUAAUUUAUCUUGUUCACCAAUCCAUACCGAUUUCUAUUAUUCUGGGAUUUAAUUUUCCCUUCUGGUAAUCACGUUAGAGUCACGAGUUUAUUCCCCGAAAUGAGAAUGUGAUUAUAUAGCCUACACUAUUUUGUUAUCUUAAGGCCCAUCACCUUUUGUCUCUUUCUUCAUUUGACUAUAGGUUCUGUAAUACUCUACCGUUAUCAUUCAUGUAUCACACCUUAUUCAUAAUGCUUUCUUAUCACUCUUCUCAUUACUCUGCUAUUAUUUCUGCAUAUCCCUUUUCUUGUGAAAACUUCAACACGACAUUCUCUCACUUUUAGCUUCCCUUUGCUCCAUCCAAUGGCUCUUUGGGUUGCUCAACAUCCUCGCUCUACUAGGGAUGAGAGCCGCACUUAAGGUAAUAUUUAUCCCAUCUAGGCUUUCACUGCCUAUCUUCUGAAUGCUAGUAUUCACAUCUAAUCGUAAUAUUCUAGGGUGCACCAUCUCGGUGUCUCACAAGAAUAUCUAUUGGCACAUUUGUAAUACCCUUUGAAAAUGCCAACAAAUGAAAGUAAUCCAUUUACCAAUUUGGGUUACUCUAACCCCAGUCGGAUCUUGAUAUCACAUCCUUCUCUUAACUAUAUUUGUUAGCCCCCAUAGGGCAUAACUGAGAUGGUUACGGCCAAUUGUACAUAUCUCUGUUACUAUUGAUGGUAACUCUUAAUGCUUAUAUUUUUCUGUCAAAACUGUAAUAUUGAUAAUCUUCAUUAACUGGGUGCCCCGUAUCCUUCUUCAACUUGCUUCUUUUGCUUGUUGAAACUUGUAUUUAUCUUCUUAAUCCCUCAUUGUCUUUUACCAUAAAGGUGGAUAUGCAUUCUUGCCUUAAGGCUCCUUAAAAAGAGGCUUACACCUUUCAGUAUGCACAUGAUCUGCUGAAGACCUCAUAUUUACUUAUCAUAAGCAUGAUACAAAGUCGAGUUCCUCUAACUCAACACAUUCACAGCUAUAUCCCUUUCCAACCUUCUUUCCGAAUGUAGAUAUCAUUUUAUUACGAAUAAAAUAGAAUUUCAGAAUUUGAAUUCUUAUAAAUGAGCUCUACCACAUAAUCUAGAAUAAGAAGAAAGAGUGGCAAUCCUAAAUGCCCUGUAGCCUACUGCUUAUAAGUGUGGUGCAUGACACACCCAUAAACAAGACUCUACUAGACACGACUUGUAGGCACCCCUAAAAAAGUACUGCUUUGAUACCACUUUUGUCACGACCCAACACGAUGGGCUGCGAUGGGCACCCGGUACCUUACUCGACCAAGUACCAACAUAACAUAUCUUUUUUAUUACAUCAUCAUAUACACGUGACAUACGGGCCUAACAGGCCAACAUAAUCAUUUAUAAACUCAAAAUAUAGGCCGACAAUGUCGUACAAUCUUUCACGUAUAUGACAUAUGUCUACAAGCAUCUAAGACUACAUAAAUGUCAUAAAGGUCGGGAUAGAGUCCUGCCAUACCAAACAAUACACGUCUAAAUCAUACUAACCAAACAAGCAAAUUUGAAGCAAAUGGAGUGCACCAACAUCUUCCGCUGAGCUGAUAGCCUACUUGGAGGGCUCUCAACCCAUCUAUCGGGACCUGCGGGCAUGAAACGCAGCGUCACCAGCCAAAAGGGACGUCAGUACGAAUAAUGUACCGAGUAUGUAAGGCACAUAAAUAAGUAUAUAAGAGACAUGGAAGAAAUAUAGAGUAUAUGACUCAACUUGUAAGUCUGAAUAACUUUGUAAAUCAUAAAUUACUUUUAGCGCCAUGCAUAUGCGUAUGAAUGUCAUGUCGUGCAUAGGUACAUGUUUCAUAACAUCAUCAACCUCUGAGGGCAUCCUAUCAUAUCAUAUCGGCCACUGUGGGCAAAAUCAUCAUCGUAUACCAGCUGAUCAGGUAGUGGUGCGUAUAUAAUGCCAUAACCUUUCCCAUAUCCUAUAUACAUAUAUAUACAUACAUAUAUACGUGUAUAUAACGCCGUUUGAAUCAUAUUUACAUAUAUACGCAUAUAUAACGCCAUUUGAAUCAUAUUUCAGCCACUGUGGGCAACAUCAUCCUCAUAUACCAGCUGAUCAGGUGUUGGUGCGUAUAUAACGCCGUAACCUUUUCUCAUAUGCCAUAUACAUAUAUUUACAUAUAUACGCGUAUAUAACGUCAUCUGGUCAUGGGUCAAUGCACAUGUAUGAAAUGCAUGAAAAAUACGUAAUAAUCUCAAUACUCCUUCCGGAUAAAUUUUUCCAACUGCGUAUUAUUAUGAGACUCACGAGAAGAAGAUAAAAUAUUAUGACACACGGAAAUUCAAGAACAUAGAUAUCUCUAAUACUUCUAUGAAUAGAGUCAUUCAUGGAAUUUGUGCAUUUGCACGUCUCGUUCGUAUCGUAUGGAUCAUGUCAAAAGAAAGAAGGGAUAUCAUUAACAUACCUGAGCCGAUUCUCUUGACAAUGCCUCUAACACAUGUCAAUUGCGAUAAAACAUGUUACGGCGGAUCGAAGUAGUGAAAAACAAAUACAUGUGAUAUUCUUGAGAAAGAUUGUACCGUACUCCAAGAGGCACAGAAGUUCCAUUUGAUACUACUAUAGUUGAGUACAACCACACCAGCUUCGUGUAACUCUGUAUGGACACAUCAAUAGCUACAGGAACGAUAAAGCCAUUUUAUUCUCUAUUCUGCCGUUCCUUCCAUCAUUUAUACUAGUGUUUGGCACAUUCUUAAUUGUAUUACUAUCAAACUUCCUUGAUGAUUUGGAAAAAUCAUCCUCAAAGUAUCUAAUACCAACAAGAUCCAUUGAAGUAGGAGUAGAAGGAAAUGGUGCUCCCUCAAGUUGAACAAUAAUAAAAUAAUAUGAUGACUCCACCGAUUUUUGUCACCAAAUUGGUCAAAAGGGACAUGUGCAAUAUUCUUUGAAUAUGAGUUUGUCAUUAAGAUCUUGUCUUGUUUCAUGUAUGAACCUUAUUCACUUUAUCUUACUCCUUUGGAGACAUUCUGUAGAAAUUAUUCAAGCUUGGAGGAAUUUCUAACAGUGGUUGUAAGGUAUUUGAAUAUGUUAAAAAUGAAGUGUUAUGUAACUAACAUAUUUGUUUGCCACCUUUCAAUUCUAAUGUAGGAGUCACAAAUUCUUGGAAUGGGGAGCUUCCACGUUCUCACCUCGAUAAUUAUCAAAAAAAAAUUAAUUAAUUUAAUUAGAAAUAUCCCGCUACCCGGUAAUUAACCAAUUACCCGCAUAAUUUAAAAAUUGUAUCAAAUUACUUAAAAUUCUACUUAUUUUUAAUAUACUUUAUAUGUAAUUUAUACCUUAUACUACCGUGAUCAUAUGGUACCUUACAUGGUACUAGUUUAUAAUUAUCGGGUAUUAUCGCUCGAAAUUCCGUUGGACUCGUAUUUUAUCCCAAAUGCCAAACUUGGACGAAAAUUCGUUUCCUUUGAAUUGCUUCCCCUCUCACCUUCACGAAUUUACUUAGUACUUGUUUGAAAUAGCAUAAUCCUUAUAAUCUCCGAAUAAUCUUUUCCUUGGACUGAUGUCAAUUAUCUUACGACAAAUUCAACGAACAAUACUGCAGGGUGCAACAUCGUGGUAAUGUAGUACUGCGAAAUGUGACAUCUCACUUCGGGGCUCUUAUUAAUUUAUUUAUGGCGUAUUUUCAUGUACGAAAAUAUGGGAUGUAACAAUUUGCGUCGGUGUUUUGUUCAACUGGUCGAUGACCGAGUAUUCCUUGGCCUGUAUCUUUCUCCAAAGAUCGUCUGACCCUGUCUCAAUGAUGGGUGACCAAUUGGAAGCUUGCUUGCUUGACUCAGCCAGAUAUUCCGGGGUAUAAACUCUACCAGUUCUUGCCAUACCUUGUGCCGCAAUAGUUUUUUCGAACCCAACCUUACCUUUCCUUAUUGCCUCGGCUGUAUAGUCUCAUGGUAUAGCCUUUGUAUGGAAUGGUGUCGUGGUCGACAUUGCCACUGGGAUUGGCGUGGUUGUCCUUACUCCGAAUGGAGCAUGCCCCUUGAGUGGUAAAAUUGCAACUUCAAACGGUGCAGGUGCAUUUGCCGGAGACAUGAAUUCGACCUCAAUUGUCGCUGGUGUUUUUGCAGAUGACGUUGCUUCAAACUCAAGUGGCAGAGACAUAUUUACCUCGGUGUCCCCAGAUGGUUGAAUCUAGACUAUGAUUGGAAUAAGAGUAACUAUCGGCUUCUUUGGGUCAUCGCCUUCUGCGAUCAACCCGAUUGAUCCCUCGGGAUCCCAAUCAUCCUCUAUUUCAAUCAUGUGAAUGCCUCUGCCCUUAUGAUCGGGUAGAGGAUUGUUGUGGAUAUUUGGAGCGGGUUCCUUUGCCAUAAUAAUCUUUUUAUCAAUUAAAGUCUGGAUCUUGUCUUUCAAGGAAUGAUAUCCGUCGAUGGUGUGCUCUUUCAUGCCGGAGUGGUAUGCACAGGAUUUGUUUGGGUUAACCCACUGAGAAGGGUUCUCAAGAGUUGCAGCAGGGAUGGGGGUAAGAUUACCAGCAACUUUGAGUCUCUCGUACAAUUGGUCAAUAGGUUCAGCAAUGGCUGUAUAUUGUUUCGGAGGUCUUCGAUCAAAGUUUGGUCGGGGUCUAGGGAAGUUUUGACGGGCGGGAGGUGACUGAUAAUGGUAUGGUUGAGCAUUGUAAGUUUGGUAGACAUGUGCGGGUUGGGAAUAUCCGGGAAAAGUAGGCUGAUAUAUAGGAGGUGGGGUGGUGGUGAUUGAUAAGUGAUGGUGGAGCAUGGUAAGAGGGUGAGGGUGCUUGGUAGUUCGGAGUAGGCUGAUAUGUGAGUAGAGGUGUUGGGUAAGUUUGGUAUUUCAUAGGAGAUUUGGUCCUUUGUGCAACCAUCACGGCUCCUACGUCCCUUUUCUUGGACACACCACCAGACUGCAAGGCCUUAUUUAUAGCUGGCAAGGCCUCGAAGUUUGUAACCAUACCGCUUUUGAUACCUUCUUCAAUUCUUUCACCCAGUUUGAUGAUGUCGGAAAAUUUGUGGCUUUCAAUCAUCAUCAAUCGUUCAUAAUACUACGGGUCCUGAGCCCGGACAAAGAAUUUGUUCAUCUGUUCCUCCUCUAGAGCAGGUAUGACCUUAGCAACUUCGGACCUCCAGCGAGUAGCAUACUCGCGAAAUGUUUCUGUAGGCUUCUUCUUUAGAUUCUGAAUAUAGAACAUAUCCGGCGCAUUCUCGGUGUUAAAACUGAACAUGUCCAUAAAGUCAGUUGUCAUGCUUACCCAAUUUGACCACUUCUUUGGAUCUUGGCUGAUGUACCAAGACAAAGCAUCUCCUUUCAAGACAAAGCAUCUCCUUUCAAACUCCUCAUGAAAAGCUUCAUACGGAUCUUUUCGCCUUUCCCUACUCCAACCAGCUUGUCGUAGUACGCCCUCAAAUAGACCCUUGGAUCCCCUGUACCAUCAAACAUCUCAAACUUAGGAGGUUUGUACCCCUCGGGCAGUUCGACAUUGGGUUGCAUGCAAAGAUCUUCAUAGUUCAGCCCCUCAAUUCUCUUGCUUCCUUCAACGCCUUGAAUCCGGCUAGUCAAUUUCUUAAGUUCCCCAGCCAGGUUCCUGAUGAGCAAGUCUUUAUCGUCAGAUUUGGGUGUCCUUGAGAUGGGUUGGGUGGAGUGUGACAUGGUCUCCACGUAGAUGGGAGUGUUAUGGUGGGUAUGAAAGUGGUCAUUUUUAGAGUUUUGGAGUUCUGAGAUGAGUAGCGGAGUGUUAUUUGGGUAUGGCAAGUAUUACAUUGGGUCUUCAGUGGAACAGUGUGGGGAGCGGGAUGAUUCUGUUGCUUUGUGUGGUGUAAGGUUUUGAGUAUUGGGAAAGGUGAUAUCCGGGGUGCUGAGGGAAAAUGACAAGCUUGCCAGAUUCCAACCUAAUCGAGUUCUUCCUGAAAUUUCAGCAAUUUCUGUUCAAGUUGGGAUACAUUUUCCUGAGUACCAUGACCAUUGGCGGCCUCUACCUGUUCAGUUACAUUCUCCCUUCUAACGUUGUUCAAAUCUUCCAUUUUGCCUUUUGUUCUUGUUUUUGACAGGACUAAGAGAAGGAGUGGGUGGAGGGCCCCUGGAUCUCGUGGAAUAAGAUGAUGUUGCCAGAGUGCACGAACUAACCUUUGGGGAGGGAAAUAAUAAAACAAAAAGUAAAAACAAAAAGGUAACCAAGUUAGUGGGGAUUAUAAUAAGUGUUGCAAUAUUUAAACACAUAAUGCAAGAAUGUAAAUCGUGUCCUGAUUUGGGAACCUCUUUGUACCCGAGGUAGGCCUAGCGACAGAUUGAUUUGGAGAACUUAGAAUGCUAAAUACCUCAUUUCAUUGAUAAAAAGUAGAUGAAUCCCAAAUUGACACUAAAUAAACAGGAAAUGAGAAUCAUUAAUGGACAUUGACCUUAUUACAUUUUAUAAAGCGAAAAGAAAAACUCCUAUCUACUUGGUCCUAGAAAGACCCUCCCAAGAUUCGGCAUCCUUGGCUCCGUCGAACAGCUUUCCCAACUCGCGAAGUCCCAGCAAUAGGUAGGCCCUGUCUAGAUGUCCGCCUUCGAUUCCUUCAGCAUUUUGGCAGUCUUCAACCCUCUUGAGAAACUUUCUUUCCAAUUCCACUGUGCCUCGUUCCAGGUAUCCCAGUCGCUUGUUGGCACUGGCAGCUAUGCCCUUCCAUUCCUCAAUUAGUUUCUGGUUGGACUCUUGUAUUUCGUGGUGUUCACUUUCGCACUCACGAAUUCUUUUGCGCAGUUGAUUGUAUUUAACCUGUACCUCGGCCCUUUCAUCUAUGAUCAUGUGACCUCGAGCAAACCCUGGCUGGCCCAGACCAUCAUGAUUAUCUUCUAACUAACCUGAGUAGAAAGGAGCGCAGCCAGCAUGAUACCUCUCUGACUCGAUGGUAUCCCUCACCAUUAUGAUCUUGUAGUGCCACAUAUGCUGAGCUUGGCACUUGUAAGGACUAUCAUCAUUCUGGAAAUCAGCCCGGAAAUGACUUAUCUUGUCGACCCUGGGUAUAACCUGCUUCCUACUAGCUUGUCUCAUAACUCAGAGAGGGACGUAAGGGUAUGUUCCUCUCAGCCCAAUCAAUUCGAGAUUGGGCGAUGAGCUUCUCGGUCGGAAACCAUUCGAACAUCCAUUAUACCUGGUCCUCAGUUAGAUUAUCAAAUAGCUCUACCCAUCCUCUGGCAUCUUCUGGCUGAGCAAACAUAUUGGGCAUGUAAUUCACUCGCCUCGGAUGAUGGAAAGCGAUAUGAUCAUCCUAGUCCCUUCGCUGAAUCUCUUGUCGGUAUUCACCCCCUUGGAGAUGUUCCACGAGCUAGAGUUGAAGUAAUAAAUUGCAGCCUUCGAAAUGUUUUGCUCCUCAUUGACACUUCUCCAAGGUUCGAUAUAUGUCGGCAACGAUCAUGGGCACAAUGCUGAAUGGCUGCCCACCGAUCCCUUCCAUUAAAGUCUUAGUUACCAUAGCCAACCUGGUGUGGAUUCUUGCUUUCUUCAUCGAAAACACGAUAAGCCCCAGGAAACAAAACAUGAAUACAAAGACUCUUCGGUGAAUGUGCCCUAAUGAUGUGAUGGCAAACUCGUCAAGAUAGGUACGAUAGGAUUUGUUGUGACCGUACCUCUCAUACAAAUAGUCAAAGGGGAUGUAGGAUUCUUUCAAAUAUGUCAGCUUUGGAUUCUUCUUCAAACCCAUCAUUUUGAGGAAGUCCCUGCCAUUGCGGUUCUCAUGCAUUAACAAACCCAGAGUUUCCCACGCUAUACCGGCCAAUCCUCCUAUCUGUUCUAGCAAGGGUGUCAUUUCAAUGUCCCCGAAGCGGAAUACGGUCCUCUCACAAUCCCAGAACAAAGUAGUAGCUUCUAUGAUCUUGUUGUUGGGUUGGAUCUCUAGGAGAGAAGGUAGAUUCCCCAAAUAUUUUCGGACAAGAGGUUGAUCACUAGAGUGAAGAUCCUCCCACCAGCUUAGCAGUCUUGGGUGGAUAUUGGUGGCCAUGCCGAAUCUAGGGAUUUCGUGCCUCAUUUCUGCAAGAAAAAUAAGGUUAUGCCCUUACCCCCACCAGACUCAACUAUUUAAUACCAACAAUUAGCAUGAAGCAUUUAGUUCUCCAAAUAAAUAUACAGAACGUGGUGACGUCCGUUUAGGCUCAGGAAAACCCAGUGGACUUUUGUCAAGGCUGUCUUAAAAUGUCAUUAUGUGGACAACAUAACUGACCCGACUAGGUUUGACCAUGAUGCAUGCACAGUUUAAACAAAGUAAGGUUUCUAUAGGGUUUUAGACUGGUACCCUUGAGCGGACAACUCAAGGGGAAAAGGCACAGAACAAUCAACUGCACCGCUGAUCGACUGAUUUAACCGCAAAUAUGCUUUUUCCGAAUUUAGAGGAUAAUAAUAUAGGAAGAGCGCAACCAAUCAUUAUAAGCGCUGCUAUGAUAUUUUAUUUAGCACGAGUGGAGUAUGAUGUUGAGCAUGAUUAUGCAAUAAUUAAAAGCAUGUUGACAUGUAUUUGCAGAUUAAGAAAGCAGUAAAUACAGUAGUUUCAUAAUUUAAAGCAAUAGUAAAAGAAAGAAACAAAGAAGACAAGUCAGUUUUGCAGUUGAAAAGGAAAUUGAAUGCUUAAAGGAAUUAAACAAGUAGUUGCAUAUAAAGAGGUAUAAAUUCACAAUAACAGUCUGGAAUGGUAAAAGCCUAAAUGUCCCCAGCAGAGUCAACAUGCUGUCGCGCCCCCUUUUUCCCCUCUUGGUGCAAUCAAGAGGUCGGAUUUGUGACAUUUGGUAUGGGACAACUCAUUCCUUUUGGAAACUGGGUUUUGCAUUUAAAGAGUCGUCACCUAAUGAUUUUAAGGUGCAUUAGGACACCUAUAAGGGUUCACUUCUAAGUUUGUUGAUAACCAGAGAUAGGGUAAGGGCAUGAAAUUAUCCUAAGGGGAAGGUGUUAGACACCCCUCAGGAUCCAUUAGUGUAGUUCCCGACCAGACGGUUUAUUGUGAAUUUGUGCAAUUAGCAAGUAAUCAAAUAAGGCUCAAAUAAAAGGGGAUUUAAAUUUGAACACAUAAGAGUUAGAAAGAACAACUAAAAGUAGAGUUCUGAAAAGAAGUUUGCAAAUAAAAAGGGAAAGGGAGACCUAGGUUUAAAUAUAAUAUAGAUCACAUCAAUGCGAUACCCGGUAUGACACUCCUCAGAAAAGGGGAUACACGUGGCAUUAUCCCACCGGUCAUCAUAUCCAUAUCUACUCUUCCCACACCGUUAAGGUAUUAAAGCGCGGAUUGGUCUCGAUCUCUAUUGCAUGCUAUUACCCAUCCCAAUCCUAUCAGUCCCGGAGGAACUUAGGACUACUAUUCCUAAAGGGAAGGGAUAUUAGGCUGACUUUUGAUUUCAAAAAAGUGAAAAAAUCUAAGGCGACAUACAAAACACAUAAUACUGCACAUUAGGGGGAAACAUGUAAACAAAUAAAGGCUCAUGUAUAUCUCCUCAAGUGAAACACAUAAAUAGCAUGACUUAAACAUACCUUUAGGGUCUGAAUACUAAGGUAAGGGAAUUCCAAUUUGUUGAGGCAAACCAGUUUAUUACAUAACUCAGAUAAGAAAUUCGAAUCAGGCAUGCCUGCUGGUUGUAGCAGUUAUUGAUUAAACAAAGGCGGAUUCAAUUUUAUGGUUAUUAUCAUUUAAGGCUUGCCUAAGUGUUUAGGUGAGAUCCUAUAGACAUGGUAUCUAUACAGAAUGAGGCAAAGCAGUAACAAUUGAAGACGAAUGAUUUGAAAUCUUACAGGCAUGCUUUAUAAACCGUACUAAUAGGCGGUGAGAGAGUUGUUUAAAAACUAGUUGAGGACAACUGAUUUUAGAUUAGUCUGAUUUCGAAUUCUAUAAACACUGAUUAUUACUAAUUUAAUUCAUAUAGACAUAAUAUCUAGUCGAACGUGAAUUGAAGGCAUGCAAUAUUCCUAUAGGCAUGAUUUCUACGAAAGGGGGUAUUGAUUUUAAACAAUGACAUGAUAUCUGAUUUUUAACCAGUUAGUUCCUAAGCAUGGUUUUUAAGUGUGGUAAUGCAGAAAUUAAAACAAGUCCUAUAGACAGGUCCUCUAAAUGCAGAGUUCGAUAUGCAGAUUUUAAGUCCUAUAGGCAUAUUCUCUAGAUGUAGAACAUACAGAAUUUUGAUGAAAGUAGAUCUUAUAGGCAUGGUAUCUAGAUGCAGAGUUAAACAUGCAGAACAACAGAUUUUAUAGGCAUGAUAUCUAGAUGCAGAGUUAAACAUGCAGAAUUUUAGGUCCUAUAAAUAUGAUAUCUACCCUUCAGCCCCUUUUCACUGGCCAAGCCCCAAAUGUUUAUUACAAAGUAUUACAAAACUAAAUAAUGAAUUACAUCAAGGAAGUAUAAAAGAAAGAGUUACAAUUAGAGGAAGUUUGAUUCUUGACUUCCUCUCUGAGUUAUGGAAUAAACCACCUCAAAUGUCAUUGUUUCAAAGCCCUUCUUAGACUUGAGUGUGUCAAAGUUCCCUAAGGGUCUCAAUAGGACCCCAGGCAGUGUUCACACCCAAGUUGCAUAACUAGAUAAAUGAGUGCAGUGGGAAGGGUCAGCCCUUAUGUGUCCAAGUUCAGAGGGAGCUCAUGGGUCCCAAGGCAAGGCUCACAUAAGAGGGGCAGAACUAAGUCUAAGAAUAUGGUGGAAGUGCAGAAGCAGAGAUUUGUUUACAAAAGACAGGAUUGAGAAUAGUAAGGGAUAAGGGUAGUUUAAAAAAACACUAGUAGUGAAGCACAAUAUCAGCAAUUGCACAAAGGGGCAGGGGUUUGGGAAUACAUUGUAGAUGGCAUGCGACCCUGAAAAGGGGUUAAGUCUGGACAUGCACAGCAAUAAGUGAAGCUGGCAUGCCCAUAAACCAGCCAAAAGCAUAACACAUAAAGAGGAUAUGAAGCAUAUGACCCAGGGAGGGUCAGGUUUAGGUCAUGCACAGCAAUGUCUGAUGCUGACAUGCCCUCAACCAACCAAAGAAUACAAACACAUAGGGGAUGGGGGUUUGGGAUUCAUAAGUAACUGACAGAUUUCAUUUAUAAGGGAAAUAUUAAUUCAGAAAAGGAAAGGGCAGAUUAUAGCAUGCUUAGGAAUGAAACUCGAUUAAACACAAGCAGGAAACAGGCAAGAGUGCAGGAAAUAGUAAAUAAACAUGUUUAUGUUGAUGCUGAAGAUUAAUCAGAACAUACCAGUAAAAAAGCAAAUGCUAAAGAAAAGCAGGCAAAUUUCCUCAGUCUAGCCUUGCCUCAGAGCCAACUAGAUAAGGCAGCAACACAAGCAGUAACAAAGAAAAGAGAAAGAGAGAGCUUUUAGUGAAGUGUGUUCUGAACUCAAGUGUUCGUAUUCCUUGUGUUCGUGUCCCUUGUGUUCGUGUCUUUGAAAGAAAAGGGGUGUAGGGUAUUUAUAGCCUUUAAAACAUGUGAGAAAUAAGGUAAUAAGUAAAGUUCAAUACAAAUAUAGAAAUAAUCAACAUCCAGAAUCAAUCAACCAAGUGAUUUCCCUAUAAUUGAGGAAUCACUUGGCUAACAGAUUCAAAAUAAGGAAAGAACAUCAGUUUGUAGGCGGACUGAUUAUUGCCAUAAAAGCAAUGGUAAAACAUUAAGUAAGCAAUUGAGUCUAAGUACAGAAAUAUACUUAUUUUGGGAAAGGAUUCAGCAAGGCAAAAUAAGGAAAGGAAUCAAUUAACCUUGACAGACGAGUGAAAUUAGAAUUUGUAAAAGAAAGGUUUUGAAAUCAUUUACGAGAUUGAAGAUCAAUUAAAAAAGUAACAUGUUGCUGCACUUCAGUAUUUAAACAGGGUGAGCAGGGACACCAGACAUGCGAGGCCAAAUUCAUUGGCAAAAGAGACAGCAUACAGUAGUAGCACAAAGUUCAGUAGAUAGCAAACAUUCGAAGCAUAAUAGUCAAAUAGGUCAAGUCCAAUUGAAUCGAUAGUGGAGAAAAAAUAGUGUAUCAGAAGCAUGCAAAGGUCCCACAGUAACAUAUGAGAAACCUUUUGAAAAGUUAGGGAAAUCACAUAAAGGAAAAAGAGAACAAAGAACUUCAAAUCGAGUCAUGUAUUCAAGCGAACAGUUUCAAACCUAAAGACAUAGUUUUUCUCAACAAUAGCAAAGCUUAAAAGAUGAUAAAUAAACAAAUCAGACAAAAACUUAACUAAACAAGCACUCGCCUGACAAACAGCCAAAAGAAAUUAGGGUUUUUAGCAUGCUAACUCAGAGAGAAGAACACGAGCAAAACAAAGCAAAACAUGCCAAAAAUCAGAGAAGAGAUUUGAAAUAACUUAACAGGAAAACCCUAAUCGGGAAAGAUAAAGAGUUUUGAAAGCAAAGUUGAAGAAACUUCGAGAAAAAUGCUUAAAAGUUCAAAGCAAGCAUAGAUCUAAAAUAGAUCUAAAAGAAAUCAAAACGUCUUAGAGAUUAGGGUUUCAGAAGAAUCCAAAAGCAACGAGAAAGGUCAUGAAAGUUACCGAUCUAACCGGGAGAGUCAAUGGUCUGACUCGAAUGGCCAUGGCUGGCCGGAGAAAGGUCAAAGAUGACCGGAGAAGGAUCAUGAACUAAAAUCGAACGAAGGCUAGAUCAGAGUUCUUCAUAGUUUGGCCUUUAAACCAUAAGGACAAACACAUAGGAGCCAUGGAAGGCUAGUACAGGUCUCCAAUGACCUCGGAAGGCCAUAGAUUAAGUAGAUAUCAAGGUGGAUUAGGGUGGCGGUGGCUAUGGUCUAGGUGGUGUUGCAGAGAGAAUUGAGAGAGAAAAGGAUUCAAGGGCGGUGGUAUGUGAGAAAUGAAUCGAGUGGGUCAUUUAAUUGGGUUGAGGGUCGGGUAUGAGUAGGAAUUGGAUCGGGGUAAAUUGGGCUUAAAUUGGGGUAGAAGUAGGCUAAAUUGAAAUGACAUCUGGCUAGAUUUUAAAUAGUCAUUUUUCCCAUUUAUUUUAUAAAAAAUAGUAAAUCAAAUUCUGGAAAUAAAUUGAAAGUAAUAAAAUGAUUUAUAACAUAUAAUUAUCAAUUUAAAAAUACUGGACUUAAUUUUUAUAAAUGUAAACGCAAUUAAAUCCUAAAAGAGGCUAAUAUUGCAAUUAUAUGCAAUUUAGCUUUAAAAAUACUAAAUAAAUUUAUAAAAAUAUGAAAAAAUCAUCUUGGCUAUAUUUUAACAUAAAUAUGAGAAUCCAAUAAAUAAAUCACCAAAAAUGAUAAUUGUAGAAAAUAUUAUUGGAUUUUUAUGAAUAAAAUAGGGGAAUAAAUUCGUUUAAAAAUCUUCAAAAAAUUAAGGAAAAAUAAUAAGACAUUUGGACAUACUUAUAUAUGCAUACAAAUGUUAUUCUAAAAGUAUUUUGCAUAUUAAAAAUAUAUAGGAAAAAUUGGGUAUCAACGGCAGUUUGAACAAGUAAAGCAAUUAAGUCACUUAGACAUGCUUCCCUACACUAACAUUAGGCUUAAAUUGCAAGUAAUAUACAACAAAAGGAGAAAAACACAAUUAUAGUUACUUAAUGAAAUUAGGAUUUUCAACAAUUAGCACAUGUACGUACUCGUCACCACACGUACAAGGCAUUUCAUAUAUCAACAAUACCAAAUCCUAAGGGGAGUUCCCCCACACAAGUUAGGCAAGUCACUUACCUCGAACCAGCUCAAUCAACUCGAUAUCACGUUUUUUGCCACGAGUACCCAACUCCAAAUGGCCCAAAUCAAUUCAAAGCAAUUGCAUAAUGUAAAUAUAACUUCAACCAACUAAUUCAACUAGUUAAUUCGAAGCUAAUACGUGAAAUUAGGAAAAUCGCCCAAAAAGUCCCUCGGGCCCACGUCAAUCUGGUAAAAUUUACAAAUUCAGAAUUCUAACACUCUCACGAGUUCAUACACACCAAAAAUACGAGAAUCGGACCACAAAAAACCCCUCAAAUCCCCAAUUCCAAGUCUCCAAUUUCAAACCCUAAACCCCCAAAUUUAACCCUUAUUUCCCCUAUAUUCCUUGCCCAAAUAAGUAUAAAAUAUAAUAAUAAUAAUAAUAAUGAGUUUGGGUUCCAAAAAUCUUACCUCCUCGAAACUCUCUUGAAUCCUUUCUCAUAAACCUCCCAAAAGCUCAAAAAUUCGGAUGAAAAUGGUGAAGAAAAUGGGUAAAAUCGCAACUGAACCUUUAUAUAGGUUCUGGCCCAGGAUUUCUGCACCUGCGGACAUUUCCUCGCACCUGCGAACCCGCACAUGCGGUCCCAGGUGCGCAUCUGCGAGAUUUCAUUAAUUGCCCUGGGCUGCACCUAUGCUUCUUCUACCGCACAUGCGGUCUCGCAGGUGCGCUCGAACUACCGCAUCUGCGUCUCCUCAAUAGCUUCUGCGAUCACGCACUUGUGGUCCCCUAACCGCAGGUGCGGUUAUGACAGAACUUCAGCAACCUUCAAAUUUCUCCUAAGUUCAAUUCUACUUCCGGUAAGCACCCGAAACUUGUCGAGACCCCCAGGAUCUCAACCAAACAUGCCAACAAGUCACCUAACACUAUUUAAACUUUUACCAACCCUUGGAACACUCAAAACAACGCCGAAACACCAAAUCAUCCUCAGGUUCAAGCCUAAGGAUUCCAAAACCUCCAAAUUCCGCAUUCGAUCAAAAAGUCUAUCAAACCUCGUCCGAAUUACCUAAAAUUUUGCACAAACGUCCCAAAUGACACGACGGACCUACUCCAACUUUCGGAAUUCCAUUCCGACCCCGAUAUCAAAAUCUCACUAUUCCAUUGCUACCCAGGCUUCAAUCUGGUCGGUCGAUUAAAGACCUCGGGGUCGAUAUCCAGCUCGAGCUCGAGCUAUCGAGAGUAACCGGGAAAGGGAUAAUAGUUAAGAUAUGAUUAAAGAAGAAUCUUUUAUGGCCAAUACCAAGCGAUAAAUGAAGAACAAGUAUAAAAACAAUAAAUGGAAAGAGUAGCCUCGAGCAAGUGAGUUAGAGAGAAAAAAAAAAGAGAGAUAUUAUUGAUCUUGUGUAGAGGGGAUAGAGCAACAGCGGCCCUUUACAAAGUGGUGUGGAUUCCCUUCAUAUAGGAGGGGAAUCCGGUUAUAGUACAACAUAUAUUAAUUAUAAAAGCAUGGAUAUGGGACGGCUAGACGUGACGCCUAGACACAAGCUCUAGGUAGGUCGGCUCUGUCAGGCUUAGCCACGUGCCUUGGGAAUUCCCCUUUUUGCUCUAGCCUCGAUCUUUGUCUUCUUUGAGUCGGGCCUCGACGAGCCCCGAGGGAGGGGACUCGGUCGCAACUCCACGCCCUCGGGGUCUCGGGAUAUUCUUCCGAAGUGACUUGAUAGGAGAAAUUAGGCCCUCUGAUUUCGCCGAAUACAGAUAGUCUCCGCGUUUCUCAGAACGAAGCGAUGGGAAACGACUCUGACACCCGGUUCCUCGAGCUUCUUAUGGCGACAUCAUACUGAUGACUCAACCUAUGGGGCAAGUUUUUGUGAUAACCGGUACAUCACAUAGACUUGUGUUUUCGUCAUCAUUCAAUGCAUUGUCGCUUCCCGUUCUCCAAGGUGAAAGUACCGCCGUCGAUUCGGUUCUUCAAGAACGCAGUAAUUGCGCCCGCCGGUCAACCUUUUGAGUGCGAUAAUGGCAUCGUCGACUACUUUGCCCUCCUGCCCUAUAAAUGGGGAUUCUUAUGAUCAGUCUUUCAUCCAAGCAUCCUUCAAUAUCUAUCAUUUCCUCCUUCCUUGCUAUUUUUGUUCUUUGUUGUCUCACCAUGUUGUGGCCCAUGGCCUCAAGAUCUUAUGUCGACAUCAUGCAUGCUACGGCUCGACUCUUGGACCUUCUCCGAUCGGAAGAAUUUUUGUUGUUGCGAUGCUAUUGUUAUUGUUGUUGUUGUUAUUGUUGUUGUUGUUGUUGUCUCCGUUAGCUCAAGGUGAUGAAGCAGGGGACCGAUUUUCUCUGACCCGAGAAGGUACUUGGGUUAUGCACCGCUGCUCAAGAGGGGGCUCGGAUUAUACACCGCUGCUCACCCUCAUUGUUUCACUUGCCAUGUUGAAUCCGUUAAGGACCCUAGUGGCGGGCACGAUUUGGUUGAGCAAUCCAAGCUGCUCUAUCACCCUCGACCUGACAAUAUUAGCCGAGCUACCUGGAUCCACGAGUACACAUUUUAUUUGAAAAGAAUUUACAAGGAAGGAGAUUAUCAGUGCGUCAUUGUGGGGUUAAGAUAGGGUCUCGGUAUCCUCUUCACUGAAUGUGAGGGUGUCCUCGGGGAUAUAUCCCGGAUCCGCUUUUCUCUGGUGAUGGAUAUUUUUGUUCUUCUCAUUACGGGUUCCUGCGGGGCAUCGGCGCCUCCCAUGAUCAUGUGGAUGACAUGUUGUAGCUCAUUUGCCUCUUCUUGGUUGUCUCCCUUUCUCUGAACUGAUUUUUGGCUCGAUCGCUAAGGAGUUCCCGGAGAUGUCCUUUGUUAAGCAGUCGAGCUACCUCAUCUCGUAGCUGAUGACAAUCCUCGGUCCUGUGGCCGUACAUGUUGUGAAACUCGCAUACUAAGUUGUAAUUCCUUUGUGAAGGAUCUGACUGUAUAGGUUUGGGCCACUUGGCGUCUCUGAUUUUACUUAUGGCGAACACGAUGUCUGACACAUCGACGUUGAAGUUGUAUUCUAACAAGUGGGGCGCACCCAUUGUCACUACAUUUCGAUCAAACCUGGUUCUGUUGAUGAGCCCUCGAGGGUCCUGUCCUUGUUCCACUCUCCGAUCAUUGCGAGGUAAGUUGCGCCUCGGGGGUGUUCCUCCUAUCUUUAAGGUAUGGCUGAUACCUUUCUUUGUUUGGUUUCGGUUCCUUUGCCAGGAGCCUGCUUGGGUAUACUGAGCCUGAAGGGGCUCCCAACUGGUCAUCCUCGACCCUGAUCUUCAACUGGUACCAGUUGUGGACGUCCGACCAGGUCACGGUUGGAUACUCGAUCAGGUUUUGUUUCAGCUAUUUUGAAGCCACCGAGCUUCGUUCGUUCAGACCUUGGGUGAAGGCCUGCACUGCCCAGUCAUCGGAGAAUGGCGGUAGCUCCAUCCAUUCCAUCUGAAAGCGAGACACAAAUUCCCACAGCAUCUCGUUCUCUUUGCUUGAUUUUGAAAACGUCGGACUUUCUCGUCGGUACCUUGAUGGCACCGGCAUGUGCCUUUACGAAUGAGUCUGCUAGCAUGGCAAAUGAAUAUAUGGAAUUAGGAUCCAAGUUAUGAUACCACAUCAUGGCCUCCUUCGAGAGCGUUUCCCGAAUUUUUUCAGCAAUACAGACUCGAUCUUAUCAUUCUUUAUAUUGUUGCCUUUUACCGCAUAUGUGCAGGCAGUAAUGUGUUCAUUAGGGUCGGUGGUUCCGUUGUACUUAGGGAGUUCCGGCAUUCCGAACUUCUUUGGGAUGGGUUUCGGGGCCGCUUCCUCGGGGAACGGCCUUUGUAUGAACCUCUUCGAAUCCACGCUGCUUCUUCGACCCUAGAGUUGUAGGUCUUGACCUUCUUAUCGUUGGCUGCUAUCAUUUUCUCGCCCAAUUCGAUCCUUUUGGUGAGAUCCUCAAGCAUUUUUACUAUGGCAGGGUUGGCUAUCGACCCGUUAUUGCUCGAUCUCUCGGGUACCUGUUCGGCUGGGGGAGCUGUUUCUGGCGUUGCUGUGCUGGGAGUCUUUGGCUGGCUUUGUAAUUGAGCAAUGGCCAACUGUUGUGCGUGCAACAUUUCAAAAAUAACAUGAAGACUAACUUCUUGUUCUUCCUGGGCUGGGAUUUUUUGGGCUUCAUGUUGGCCGUCAUGCCGUAUGCUAUUGUCGGUGUGUAAGGUUUUGUUGACCUGUUGUGCGUCCUGUGAAUUAGCGUCCGCUAAAAUCGGUCUGAGCGCGCUAUCAAGAUUCUGUGGUGGUGCGCCGACAGCCGGAACAGCCACGUCGUUUUCCCUGUGGAUUUCGAGGUUGUCGUUCUCAACUCUGUUUACCGAGCCAGACAUUUUGACCUGUAAUCAAAAUAUCUCGAACAACAAAAAACGUGAAAGAUAACUUGCAUUUGUGUAAUGAAACCAGUAAGAAAAUAAUCACUAUUAUUUUUAGCCUCACGGUAGGCGCCAAACUGUUUACUGUGAAAAUGGUAACAACAAUUAAAUUUGUAAAUGGGACUCUAAAAAUACGUGAUCUAUUUUUAUGUUAGUUGUUAGAGCAGUUGAUGUUAGGCAUAUGAAGUUUAAUUAUGAAAUACGAGUUAAAACGAGGCAGUGAUCGAACCGAGGGGCUUGCUACCCGAGCUUCGGUUUGGUCGAUGAAAGACCUCGGGGUCGAUAUCCGGCUCGAGCUCAAGCUAUCGGGAGUAAUCGGGAAAGGGAUAAUAGUUAAAUGAUUAAAGAAGACUCUUUAUGGCCAAUACCAAUCGAUAAAUGAAGAACAAGUAUGAAAGCAAUAAAUGGAAAGAGUAGCCUCGAGCAAGUGAGUUAGAGAGAAAAGGGAGAGAGAGAUAUUAUUGAUCUUGUGUAGAGGGGAUAGAGCAACAGCGACCCUUUACAAAGUGGUGCGGAUUCCCUUUAUAUAGGAGUGAAAUCUGGUUAUAGUACAACAUAUAUUAAUUAUAAAAGUAUGGAUAUGGGACGGCUAGACGUGACGCCUAGACAUGGGCUCUGGGUAGGCCGGCUCUAUCAGGCUUAGCCGCGUGCCUCGGGAAUUCCCCUUUCCUCUAGCCUCGAUCUUCGUCUUCUUUGAGUCAGGCCUCGACGAGCCCCGAGGGAGGAGACUCGGUCGCAACUCCAUGUCCUCGGGGUCUCGGGAUAUUCUUCCGAAGUGACUUGAUAGCAAGAAAUUAGGCCCUCUGAUUUCGCCGCAUACAGCGACAUUUAGCACAUUAGACCCAAAAAUGAAACAUCAAACAAUCACAAGAAAUCCAAGCAUAACAGUAUUCUAAGCUCGAAUUAUGAACCCUGAACCAGAAGCUCUAGGUUCGUUUCCCCAGCAGAGUCGCUAAAGCUGUCACACCGUCUUUUUACAGGAAAAUGAGUUUUGUCACUUUAAGUGACAUAUUUGAAAUGUGAUUACUUAUUUUAAUUAUAGAGUCGCCGCUUGGAAUAAUUAUUGAGGUGUCCCAAGUCACCGAUUUAUUUUAAAAUCCCAAUUGAAGGAAAUUUUGACUCUGUUAAAGUCUGUGAAACAUAGAAGACCGAGUAAGGAAUUUUAUUAACCUGGGAGAAGAUGUGAGGCACUUCCAAAUUCCGUGAUUUUAGUAUGGUCGCUUACAAUUAAACUCGACUUAAUUAUCUGAUCAUUACAUGUUUUUAACCUAUGUGCAUUCGUACCUUUUACUGCUUUAUUGUAUAUUUUAAGUAGUUAUGGAUUUUAUUUAAAACAAGCUACAAUAUCGCACAAUUGUUGUUUGUACACACUGCAAGCCACACUACGUGAAAUGCACCCAUGAUUUAUAAUAUAUUAAUUAUUAAUUAUUUGAAGUCGUAGGGUACUUGCAUUUAAAUUUGGGAUUACGUAUUGUAGUUAUGCCAUGAGAGUUGUACCCAUAACCAUGACAAUUAAAUUAUUCAAUGCACGCCUAAAGCAACUAGCGAUGUUCAUGAAUUAAUUUCCCUAAAACUAGCUUGGGAUUAUUUUGAGGUCAAGAGUUUAUGGAAAUUAUUUGUGAAAGAAGAGAAGUAAAUUGGUUAUGAAAAUGUGGGUUAGCCUUGGCAGACUUCCCUAUUGGGCACAACUACGUGAUGACCUCAAUGUAAACCAAUUUGGAGAUACUAAAAAAUUCCCUUACACACAAAUCCUUUUGCUAUUAUAUUUAUCUACUUUAUCAAAACUCAUUCUUAGAUUCUAUGAACAAUAUAGUAUCCUAACUUAAGAAACCAACAUUAUAAGUACUCAUUAAAUUAAUCCAAAAUAAAGAUGAAUAAGAUUGAGAAAUACCAAACACUAAGAUGGACAGCUAACAUGGUAAACGGCAAAACUAAUCUAAAACAAAGCAAGCAAGCAAAUUUAAAUGAACAAACCUACCUGUUAGCAAAUAAAUAAAACUCAUGAAACGUCCUCACCUAUCUCGAACAGAGCAAGCAAAAUGUUUAAAUCACUCAAAGAGCAAAAUAAGAAUCCAUACGUGCGUUCCUAAGAAUUCUGAACUACCAAGAAGACACUUAAUUUUCAAAGAAUUUAAGAAACAGAAUAGGGAACCAAAUCUCUAGCUGACUUCAAGAACGAGAGAAACAAUUAGAAUAUUUACACAAGAUCCACCUUAGUGGCCAGCCAUAGAAAAUCUGAUCAAUCCCUCUUAACAACUCAGCGUCAAUGAUCCAAUAACACCAUAACAAUUGAUAAACAAAAUGAAAUCACAUGUGAAAGCAUGCUAAGAGAGAAGAGAGGAUCCAUCAACAAAAUUCAUCAAGCUAUUGUAAUAAGAUGAGAUAAGAACAAAAAGGACCUUUCAUAGAUGCAUCUGAGCUUCAAUUCUUUGACAACUAUUGAAGCUUAAACACCAACAAAAUCGUGUACAAGACCUCAACAGAAAAUCGACCAAAUCGCCGAAAACUCAAAGCUGACUCAGGAAACUCACUAAAAUCCAAUGACUUUACACGGCUGAAAUGGAGCUUAAACUGCAGCUCUUUUAGUGAUGUAAGAAGUUGGUUUUCGGACUAUUUUAAUGGAGGUUUUGCUAUGUUUUUGGACUGGUUUUAGGACUGUGUUACGGGGGAAAUAGAGCUGGGUUUGGGGUGAAUUUAGGGAGUGUUUUAAGUUAGUUUCAAGCUGAGAUUUGUAGAGGAUUUCACUAUUUUUGGUGAAGCAGUGCAUUUUCGCUACUGCUAUGAGUAAGGAGAAGCAAUCACAUUUUCCUUUCCCGUUUUCCCCGUUUUUUCUCUUUUUUCUCCCAAUUAUCCUUAUGUCCUCCGAUUUAGCUAUUAUAAUGAUUUUCGAUGAAUUCCAUAAGCGCGUGUGGGUGAAAAUUAACUGAACAAAUGAUUCAAUUUGAAAUAAAUCUAGAUCUUCACAAUUCUGAGCACGAAUGUCUCCAUGAAUUCAAACAAGCUUUUAAUAACUUGUAUGAAUCUACGAAAAUCAGAAUUUUUUUUACAUUUAAACACUUGAAUAUUUAAUAAGCACAUGAAAAUCAAAACUCAAACAAGAGCAGAUAGUUCAUUAACAUAGAUGAGAUAGAAUUACAGAGUAAUUGAUGUAUUUACCUCUCAGCAGGAGAUACAAGAGCAAACAACCAAAUAAAAGCUGGGAUGUGAGAAUGGAGUUUAGACCACUAAUUUUCAGCGAAGGAAUGCAAAGCAACAACAAUUUCAGAAGCUCAAUCUGCCUUCAAAAUUCCAGAAAUCAUGUGAUAAACUAAUGCAACUUGAUGUUUUAAGAACCACAGAUCUGUGUGAAAACUUGUUAAUUCAAGAAAAAUUUCCUAGCUUUUUUGUAUGUGUUCGUGAGUGGGUGUGUAUUUCUAGAGGUAUCUGUGAAUGAAGAUGAGAGUGAAGGUCUAUUCGUGGAAGUGUGGGUCAAUCCGUGUGAGGGGAGCUUCCUUCUCUUUCUUUUGGAGUGAAAUGAGGUGGGGUUGUU